UUUUUUUUAUGUUUUUUUUC
rnacentral:sRNA from 1 species